rnacentral:rRNA from 1 species
GAGUACCAGCCCCUCGUCCCCGCCCUCGACGCCGGCGUCAGCCCCGCCUCCCUCGAUGAGAUCUUCUCCAUGCUCAGCAACUUCGACCAGCGCAUGGUGCACUUUCAGAACUCCGGCGGCGGCGGCUUCAAGUCCUCAGCCAACCUAGCUACUCGUGGUCGCGACGGCGGCUCUCGCUACCGUGGUUGUGGCAAGGGCAGGGCUGGUGGUACCAGGUCCGGCAACAAUGGUGGAACCAGCGGUGGUGGCGCCCGUGGCAAUAGGGGUCGCCACGGUGGCGGCUCUGGCCGCACCCGUCCGGACUCCCCACGCUGUCAGGUUUGUGGCAAACCAGGACGCACCACCAGGGACUGCUGGUACCGCUAUGAUGAAGAUGAGGACGACUUUCAAGAUGAUGACAAGAUCACUGCAGCGGCGGGUGGAUCCUACGGCAUCGACACCAACUGGUACCUCGACAGCGGCGCCACCAAUCAUCUCACUUGA